UGUGCCUACGGGGCGCAGCAGUGAGGAAUAUUGGCCAAUGGGCGGAAGCCUGAACCAGCCAAGUCGCGUGAGGGAAUAAGGCCCUACGGGUCGUAGACCUCUUUUGCCGGGGAGCAAGGGCGGGGACGUGUCCCGGCCCGGUGAGUACCCGGAGAAAAAGCAUCGGCUACCUCCGCGCCAGCAGCCGCGGUACUACGGAGGAUGCGAGCGUUAUCCGGAUUUAUUGGGUUUAAAGGGUGCGUAGGCGGGUUUUUACGUCAGCGGUAAAAAUU
rnacentral:rRNA from 1 species